GAAUUUUAUACAAGUUAAAUUAUUAAGAUUUAGUUAGAAAAUAUAAUUAAAAUGUAUUUAAUUGGGAGGAUUGUUAAAUUAAAAAAACUUUAAUGGAUCUUUAAUAAAUAUAAAUUAAUGGAUUAAGGAGUGGCUAUUAAGUUAAAUAAGAAUUAAUUACCUUAGGGAUAACAGCGUAAUAUUUUUGGAGAGUUCAUAUUAAUAAAAAUGUUUGC
rnacentral:rRNA from 1 species